rnacentral:tRNA from 1 species
UCCUAGUAGCUCAGAUGGUAAAGCAUCUGCCUGCAAAGCAGGAGACCUGGGUUCGAUCCCUGGGUUGGGAA